rnacentral:rRNA from 1 species
GAUGAACGCUGGCGGCGUGCCUAAUACAUGCAAGUCGAGCGAACAGAUGAGGAGCUUGUUCCUCUGACGUUAGCGGCGGACGGGUGAGUAACACGUGGAUCAUCUACCUAUAUGUCUGGGAUAACUUCGGGACACCGGCGCUAAUCCCGGAUAAUAUAUUGCACCGUAUGGUUCAAUAGUGAAAGACGGCUUUGCUGUCUCUUCUCGCUGGUUCCGCGCCGCAUUAGCUAGUUGGUAAGGUAACGGCUUACCAAGGCUACGAUGCGUAGCCGACCUGCGAGGGUGAUCGGCCACACUGGAACUGGGACACGGUCCAGACUCCUACGGGAGGCAGCAGUAGGGAAUCUUCCGCAAUGGGCGAAAGCCUGACGGAGCAACGCCGCGUGAGUGAUGAAGGUCUUCGGAUCGUAAAGCUCUGUUAUUAGGGAAGAACAAAUGUGUAAGUAACUAUGCACGUCUUGACGGUACCUAAUCAGAAAGCCACGGCUAACUACGUG